AUUGAACGCUGGCGGCGGGCCUAACACAUGCAAGUCGAACGGUAACACGAGGAACUUUGCUGUUUUGCUUUCGCGUGGGGGACGGGUGUGUAAUGUCUGGGACACUGCUUGAUGGCGGGGGUUAACUCGUGGAAACGGUAGCUAAUCCCGCAUAACGUUGCAACCCCAAAGAGGGGGAGUUUCAGGCGUUUUGGCUUUCGAUUUUCCAUGGAGGGAUUCGCUAGUAGGUAGGGUGAAGGUUCACCAAGGCGACGAUCCCUAGCUGGUCUGAGAGGAUGAAGAGCCACACUGGAACUGAGACACGGUCCAGACUCCUACGGGAGGCAGCAGUAGGGAAUAUUGCGCAAUGGGCGCAAGCCUGAUGCAGCCACGCCGCGUGUAUGAAGAAGGUCUUCGGAUUGUAAAGCACUGUUAUCGGGGAAGAAGGGAUGAGAAUGAAAACCUUCACUCAUUGACGGUACCCAAACAAAAAGCACCGGCUAACUCCGUG
rnacentral:rRNA from 1 species